GAGGCUGUAGCUCAGUGGUAGAGCAUGUGCUUAGCAUGCAAAAGGUCCUCGGUGCAAUCCCCAGUACCUCCU
rnacentral:tRNA from 1 species